GGGAAGGUAGCUCAGUGGUAGAGUGCUUGUCUCCCAUGCAUGAGGCCCUGGGUUCGAUUCCUCAGCACCACCU
rfam:Dipodomys ordii contig_17381, whole genome shotgun sequence.